rnacentral:rRNA from 1 species
GGUUAAGUGACUAAGCGUACACGGUGGAUGCCUGGGCAGUCAGAGGCGAUGAAGGACGUACUAACUUGCGAUAAGCGCAGAUAAGGCAGUAAGAGCCGUUUGAGUCUGCGAUUUCCGAAUGGGGAAACCCAACUGCAUAAGCAGUUACUGUUAACUGAAUACAUAGGUUAACAGAGCAAACCGGGGGAACUGAAACAUCUAAGUACCCCGAGGAGAAGAAAUCAACCGAGAUUCCGGUAGUAGCGGCGAGCGAACCUGGAUUAGCCCUUAAGCACUCGGUGAAGUAGGUGAACAAGCUGGAAAGCUUGGCGAUACAGGGUGAUAGCCCCGUAACCGACGCUUCAUCGAGCGUGAAAUCGAGUAGGGCGGGACACGUGAUAUCCUGUCUGAAUAUGGGGGGACCAUCCUCCAAGGCUAAAUACUCCU